rnacentral:pre_miRNA from 1 species
AAAAUGACAAACCCUGGGUUUCCGUGUCCAACUUUGACUAUCCGUCUUAUAUGAAAUUUUUUUAUAAUUCAUAUUUUUAUUGUUGUUAGAUGAUAAAACAUGAUUAAUAUUUUAUGCGUGACUUGUCUUUUUAAUUUUUUUCAUAAUUUUUUAAAUAAGACGAACGGUCAAAUAUUGGGCACGGAAAUCAGGGUUUGUCUUUUU